rnacentral:rRNA from 1 species
AUUGAACGCUGGCGGCAUGCUUUACACAUGCAAGUCGAACGGUAACAGGGAGCUUGCUCCGCUGACGAGUGGCGAACGGGUGAGCAAUGCGUCGGAACGUGCCGAGUAGUGGGGGAUAACGCAGCGAAAGUUGUGCUAAUACCGCAUACGUACUGAGGUAGAAAGUGGGGGACCUUCGGGCCUCACGCUAUUCGAGCGGCCGACGUCUGAUUAGCUAGUAGGUGAGGUAAAGGCUCACCUAGGCGACGAUCAGUAGCGGGUCUGAGAGGAUGAUCAGCCACACUGGGACUGAGACACGGCCCAGACUCCUACGGGAGGCAGCAGUGGGGAAUUUUGGACAAUGGGCGAAAGCCUGAUCCAGCCAUGCCGCGUGUCUGAAGAAGGCCUUCGGGUUGUAAAGGACCUUUGUCGGGGAGGAAAUCCCCAGCGUUAAUACCGCUGGGGGAUGACAGUACCUGAAGAAUAAGCACCGGCUAACUACGUGCCAGCAGCCGCCGUAAUAC